rnacentral:rRNA from 1 species
CGGAAAGGUUCCUUCGGAAACGAUCCUCGAUUCGGACGAACGGUGUGACGUAACACGUCGGAUAAUCGAACCUCUUGCUCUGGAAUACCCCGUGGGGAAACUCGGAUCAAUGCCAGAUAAAGUGCGGUGCUGCAGGUGCCGUACCAAAGAUAGCUUCGGCCUUCGGCGAGAGUACGAGUCCGCGGCCCAUUAGCUAGUUGGCGGGGUAAUGGCCCACCAAGGCUACGAUGGGUAGCUGGUCUGAGAGGAUGAUCAGCCACACUGGGACUGAGACACGGCCCAGAACUCCUACGGGAGGCAAGCAGUGGGGAAUCUUGCGCAAUGGGCGAAAGCCUGACGCAAGCAAACGCCGAGUGCGGGAAGGAAAGGGCUUCGGGGUUUGUAAACCGCUUUCAGGGAGAGACGAAGACUUCCAGGGUGCAAUCAGUCCUGUGGACGUGACGGGUAAUCUUACAGACAAGACACGUCCACGGGAUAAACUAACGUUGCCAGCAGCCA